rnacentral:lncRNA from 10 species
CGACAGAGCAAGACUCCGUCUCAAAAAAGAAAAAAUAAUAAAUAAAUAAAUAAAAAUAAAAUAACAUAAAGAAAAAAUAAAAAUAAAAAACCUAUUUUAUACUUAUUGCCAAGUUGCCCUCCAGAACUAUUGUAACAACUUACAAUACCUAGUUUCCUGAAACCUCCUCAACACUAGAUAUUGUCUCUUCUUCAGUCUUUGGCAUAAAGUUUUCAAAGUAUGCCCAAGGAAGUAAUAAUUUUAUAGUUUUGAAGGAGUAGAAGAUUGUCCUUUUUGAAAAUUGGGAAGACUAGAUCUUGAUUAUAUCUACAUGAUAUUGUACUUGAGAAAUUAAAUCAGUAAGUAGUUUGGUGAGAGCCAGAGCCCUAAAAUCAAAAUAGACUUUGAAAAUUUAUGUCAGCAAGAGUUCUUCACCGUGAUUUAUUUAACUUAAGAACUUAAAGCUGCUAAAGGCACCAAGAGGAGGAUUUGCUCCAUGUUGGUUGAAGGGAAUGUUAAUGGCAAUGCAUUCUCUUUGUAGUAUUUCAUGUUAUUCUGUGAGAUUAUACGUGUGUGUGUAUGCGUGCACAAACUUGCUAGGAAAAUUCAGUUAUUUUUAGUUCUAGGAGGUGUAGUAUAUUAUAAGAACAAGAUUACUGUUUGAUUUUUUGUUUAUUUAUUUUUUGAGACAGGGUCUCACUCUGUCACCCAGGAUGGAGUGCAGUGGUGCAAUCUCGGCUCAAUGCAACCUCUGCCUCCCAGGCUCAAGUGAUCCUCCUGCCUCUGCCCAUUCACAGGAAACUAUACAAAUGAAUGUAUGGUCUGUCACCAAAGAAAUGACAAGCAAGACAAACACACAUCUAACUGGCCUGCUUUCGUUCACUACAUAAUCAUCAGUGAUAUUGCCCUAAGUAACCAAUUUCUGUGUCUCCUCUUGAGAAUGCAUAUGGCAGUAUAUUUAAAUGGUUAUUUUUUGUUUUGUAUGAUUGUUACCUUACCUUUGUAAUAAAGUUGUUAACAUGUUUUGAUGCUUUGUGUUUAACUUUUAUGUUUAUAUAUAUAUAUAUAUAUAUAUAUAUACAUAUAUAUAUAUUUAGAUGAAGUAGAACAAUUACCUCUGCAACUACAAAUGGAUUGCUGGUUAAAAGCAGGACAUUUAAAAAGCAAAUGUGAAGAUGGAAAUUGUAAUAUCGAUCAGGCUUACACUUUAAGAGAGACAUGCUGUAUUGAUCAAGCCCAGGAUAAAACCAGUCAUACUAUAAAGUACUAAAUGUGUCUUUAAAUUUUAUCGACCAAACUGACAGGGGUAUGCAAAAUGAAAGCCAUAUGCAGAAAAUUCUCUUCAAAGUCACUGUGAUGCAAGUUUACUUUUGUUUGGCAAUUCAGGGUCCCAGUGGAUUACAGCUACAGAUUAAAGUAUCAGGAAGAAAAUGAAAAUGUAAAGGCAUAGUAAUUUUUAAGAAAGCAUUAUUUACUUUUGGGAUUUGCUUUUGUGAUAGGAAGAAUGACCGAAUCUCCAAUGUGAUUGCUUUGCAGGAUACUUCUGUUCUGUGGCAAGUUAUAACACCAUUUUGAAAUAAAAUUUUGUGAAUCUAAAAAUAAGGAUUCCAGAUUCUUUCAUCAAUAUCUUGCAGCUCCUCCCUUCAAGAGGUGGAGUCUAUUUUCCCACUCCUUGAAUCUGGUCUUGCCUUGUAAUUUGCUGCGACUAAUAGUACGUUGCUGAAGUUACAUUGCGUAGACACUAGACCUUCAGUGGAGCGCCUGCCUUUCCUUCUUGGAAUGCUUUGAUCACCAUGUAAAGCCACCUAGCUACUGAAUGAUGAGAAACCAUGCAGAAAGAAUGGCGUAGCUAACAGCCAGCAACAAGGCCCAAGACAUAUGUGUGAAUCCAUUUUAGAUCCUCCGGCCCCAGGCAAGCCACCUGAUCAAUGCAAACACAGGAGUAAUCUCAGGCAAAACUAGCAGAAGAACAGCUCAGCUAACCCACAAAAUUAUUAAAAAUAAUAAGUUGCCUUCUUAAGUCACUGAUCUUUGGGGGUGGAUUGUUAUACAGCAAUAGAUAACUGAUACGACAUAGUAACAAACACGGGUGCAGGUCAGUAACAUUGUCUGAUAACACACUCUAAAGAGGAUUUAAGAAUGCAUCUAAAGAACUUGAGGUCCUGGUCAGAAAGCUGAGAUGAUAUGAAAUCUUUACAAAGAUUUCAUGCCUGAAACCUUUACAUCAGGCAUGAGCCACUGAGCCUGGCAUGUUAUAUGUCUUCUUAAGCACAACCGAUGAUACUGCAACUGAUGAUACUGCAAAUGCUUUUUAUUUUCGCUUAGUUUAUGGUAUAUUCCGGUAAGCAGAUAUGAAGAAGGUCUGUUAAACAGAUGACUCAUGGUAACCAGAAAGCAAUGAUAACAGUUAAAAUCAGUUUGCAAAUACUACUAAUGUAGGAAUGUCUUCAAUGAUUGUGUAAGGGCAGUGGUAGAGGGGAAAAGCACCAAAGGAUUGGUGGCUUAUGGAAAAGUUGUUGCCAAGAUGUAUUUAAUUACUCAUCAUGUGAGGUAUAAGACAAGCACUAGCGAUUAUAAAGAUUCUCACAUCUUUGCACACAGUAUUAGAUAAUGCCAUACAAAUUUCAGUUUUAUUAAAGCUUAAACUUUCAAUCGUAGGCUUUUCAGGAUAAUUUGUAGUGAUAUGCGCACUUAGUUCUAGAACCUGAACAAGCUUAUGUUUGUUUGGAAUUCAAGGUCCAAAAUGAGUUACAGCUAUAAAUUAAAGUGCCAGUAAAGAAAUGAAAACAAACUUUAGACUCAAUAUACAAACUAACAUAAAUCUCAUUUUUUUUGAAAAUUUCAGAAAAUAUCUGACAAAAUGAUUCCUCAGGCAUGUGGGAUUUUAGAAAAGAAAUCACUUAACAUGCCAUAAUUUAAUAAUAUAUGUUUGAAAGUUAUUUUUCCACCAAACAAUGGCAGCCUGAAAAAUCUGUUUACUGAUUAUCUCCACACUGAACACAUAAGUUAAUGUUUGUGGAUAAUAUUACUUAUUAAAUAUUGAAAUGUCAUUUUUCUUUCAAAUGCCUUUUUUGCUUUCCUCAGAUGUGUUAACUUGUCUUUAAGCGGGCCACCAUCAAUUUGCUCAACUCCGGGAUAGUUGAACCUAGGCAGGCCUUAGUGACUUGUUUAAGUAAUAGAAUAUGUUGAAAAAUAUCUUUGGAGCUUCUGAAGCUAGGUUAUAAGAAGACUUGGAGCUUCUGCCUACGCCUCCUGAAACACCUACUCUUGGACCCCUGAGCCACCAUGCAAGAAAGUUUAGUCCCUGCUGGAAUGAGUUCAUGGAGAGGCUCUGAGUCUGUAUGGAGAGGGAGACAGGCCUAGCUGAGCCUACCUACUACCUGUGCCCACUAAAGCAUCAGGCAUGUGAGUAUGGUCACGUUGACCACCCCAGACCAGGUCAUCUGUCAGUUGAGUACCACUGAAGAGUGACUCCGGUUAACAGCCACAUUGACCAAAAGAAUCAACCAGCCAGAUUUUGCCUCAAUUCCUGAAUUUCAGAAAUUGUCAUUUUAAGCCACUAAGUUUUAAGGUGGUUUGCUACAUUGUAAUAGAUAAUAGAACACUGAAGAGUAAUCUGAGACAACAAGAUGUAGUGAGAAGGUGGCCAUUCCCAACCCAAGGAGAGAACCCUCACCAGAUACUGACCCUGCUGGCAUCUUGAUCUUGGACUUCAAGGCUCCAGAACUGUGGAGUUUCUCCCUUGUUACCUGGACUAGAGUGCAAUGGCACAAUUUCGGCUCACUGCAAUCUCCGCCUCCUGGGUCCAAGCGAUUCUCCUGCCUCAGCCUCCUGAGUAGCUGGGAUUACAGGCACCCACCACCACUCCAGGCUAAUUUUUUUGUAUUUUUAGUAGAGAUGGGGUUUCACUCUGUUGGCCAGGCUGGUCUUGAACUCCUGACCUCAAGUGAUCUGCCCGCCUUGGCUGCCCAAAAUGCUGUGAUUACAGGUGUGAGCCACCAUGCCAGGCCUUUAUAGAUGUUAAGACAGAAUAAAUGCCUUUAAUUUAUAUGAUUAAUAUGUAUGAUUUAAUCCAUGAUAAAUCAAAGCAACCGUUCCAUUUUAAAAGAUCAAGUUAGGUUAAGUGCAGAAGAAUUUGACUGAGAAGCUAUGGGAGCUUAAAGAUUCAUGGCCCUUCUUUCCAUGGCUCAUUCCAAAGUCCUGGGAAGCACCCUAGCAAGAUGUUCACACAACCAUCUAAUUUUGUAAAAUUUGCAAACUUUGAGCUGCAAUUGGUUAAGAUUGCUGCUUCGCUCAGACUUUCCCUCCUCAUGCUUACCCUGGUGUCUGGCAUUUGGGGGAUGGAGUUGGCAGUCACUUCUGUGUGUAAUGAGGCAUUUCUUCGAAAGAAUCACUUCUAGAAAACUUCUGCUGUUCACCUGGCAUUGUGACACAUAGGGGCAAGACCAAAAAUCAUGUUGUGAUAUGAGUGUGUCCCAAAGCACCCAGCCCUGAGGUAUGCGCACAGUAGAAAAGAAGAAAUGAUUUAAAAAGAUGAAGCGAGAACUAGUCUGUGGAAAAUUCUUCUAAUCUUCAGAAAUGUGGAAUUAGAAGCAGAGAAUUCCCUUAUCAUUACUUAAGCAAAAUGGCUAUUCUUUCCUCUCAGGAAUAUACUUAAUAAUGCAGAUUGUACAGAGGUAAAUACACUAUAUUUUUUCUGUUGUUGGAUGAGAAUCAUGCAAGAUAAAAUUUAUCUAAUUCCUGUGUUCAUACUUUAUAAACUCUAGGAGUUUUACAAAUAGCGAUCAUGUCUCUUGGCAUACUGCAGAGUACUUCCCAAUAUGUCAGAUCACUUACAGUGUCUGACAUAUUGUGUCCUUAUAAAGUUGAGCAGUUAUUAGCCAGGUGCAGUGGCUUAAGCCUCUCAUUCCAGUUACUCAGGAGGCUGAGGCUGGAGGAUCACUUCAGCCCAGUAGUUGCUAGCCUGGGCAACCUCGAGAGACCCUGUCUCAACAAUAAAAUAAAAAAUAAUAUAAAAUAAAGAUGAGUGGCUCUAGAUGAAACAGCACACAAAACUGCUAACAACGCAGCAAUACACUGAAAAUAAGUGCUCAAGUGACAUAAUUCUUACAAACACCCAUCAACUUAGUCAAUAUAUGUAGUAUUGGAGUAGUUUGAUUAUACAUUUAGGUAGCUCAAUAUAAUAUGGCAAUAAUUUAAAACUGUAUUUGAAUUCCUCUUGUGUUACACUUAAUUUUGUAUGGUUUUCCAGUGUAUGAAGCCAAAAAAUAGGGAAAACGCAUCUAUUAGAGAGGUUUAUUGGGCAAUUAAUAAAAUAUUAUGCUAUUUUUCUG